GACGGAGGAGGCAAGCGUUAUCCGGAAUUAUUGGGCGUAAAGCGUCCGCAGGCGGUUAUUUAAGUCUGUUGUCAAAGGUCACAGCUCAACUGUGGAUCGGCAAUGGAAACUGGAUGACUUGAGUGUGGUAGGGGUAGAGGGAAUUCCCGGUGUAGCGGUGAAAUGCGUAGAUAUCGGGAAGAACACCAGUGGCGAAGGCGAUCUACUGGGCCACAACUGACGCUGAGGGACGAAAGCUAGGGGAGCGAAAGGG
rnacentral:rRNA from 1 species